AGUGAACGCUGGCGGUAGGCCUAACACAUGCAAGUCGAACGGCAGCACAGUAAGAGCUUGCUCUUACGGGUGGCGAGUGGCGGACGGGUGAGGCAUACAUCGGAUUCUACUUUUUCGUGGGUGAUAACGUAGGGAAACUUAUGCUAAUACCGCAUAUGAUCUACGGGUGAAAGCAGGGGUUCUUCGGACCUUUCGUGUUUCAAUGAGCUGAUGUCGGAUUAGCUAGUUGGCGGGGUAAAGGCCCACCAAGGCGACGAUCCGUAGCUGAUCUGAGAGGAUGAUCGGCCACACUGGAACUGAGACACGGUCCAGACUCCUACGGGAGGCAGCAGUGGGGAAUAUUGGACAAUGGGCGCAAGCCUGAUGCAGCCAUACCGCGUGAGUGAAGAAGGCCUUCGGGUUGUAAAGCCCUUUUGUUAGGAAAGAAAAGCAGCAGGUUAAUACCCCGCUGUUCUGACGGUACCCAAAGAAUAAGCACCGGCUAACUUCGUG
rnacentral:rRNA from 1 species